rnacentral:rRNA from 1 species
UACGAAGGGGGCAAGCGUUGGUUCGGAAUUACUGGGCGUAAAGGGCGCGCAGGCGGUUUUGCAAGCCGGAUGUGAAAUCCCCGGGCUUAACCUGGGAAUGGCAUUUGGGACUGCAAGGCUGGAGUGCGGCAGAGGAGACUGGAAUUCCUGGUGUAGCAGUGAAAUGCGUAGAUAUCAGGAGGAACACCGAUGGCGAAGGCAGGUCCCUGGGCUGACACUGACGCUCAUGCACGAAAGCGUGGGGAGCAAACAGG